AAAGGAAGUUGACGGGACCCGCACAAGCGGUGGAUGAUGUGGUUUAAUUCGAUGCAACGCGAAAACCUUACCCACCUUUGACAUGUACGGAACUUGCCAGAGAUGGCUUGGUGCUCGAAAGAGAGCCGUAACACAGGUGCUGCAUGGCUGUCGUCAGCUCGUGUCGUGAGAUGUUGGGUUAAGUCCCGCAACGAGCGCAACCCUUGCCAUUAAUUGCUACGAAAGGGCACUCUAAUGGGACUGCCGGUGACAAACCGGAGGAAGGUGGGGAUGACGUCAAGUCCUCAUGGCCCUUAUAGGUGGGGCUACACACGUCAUACAAUGGCUGGUACAAAGGGUUGCCAACCCGCGAGGGGGAGCCAAUCCCAUAAAGCCAGUCGUAGUCCGGAUCGCAGUCUGCAACUCGACUGCGUGAAGUCGGAAUCGCUAGUAAUCGUGGAUCAGCAUGUCACGGUGAAUACGUUCCCGGGUCUU
rnacentral:rRNA from 1 species